rnacentral:rRNA from 1 species
UCCAGACUCCUACGGGAGGCAGCAGUGGGGAAUUUUGGACAAUGGGGGAAAGCCUGAUCCAGCCAUGCGGGGUGUGUGAAGAAGGUUUUCGGAUUGUAAAGCACUUUGUGUUGGGAGGAAGGGCAUUUACCUACUACGUAAGUGUUUUGACGUUACC